rnacentral:tRNA from 1 species
UCGGAUAUGGUGUAACGGCUAACAUUGCCGCCUCUCAUGACACGCAUGGGUCACACCUGAUACGCGGCAGCUCGGGGUUCGAUUCCCCGUAUCCGAA